AAGCUCUGAGAGACAUCUGUCCCAAGAUGAAACAAAGAGGCAGCUUCUUCAGAAGGCAAUGCAACCGAAGUUGUAUUCAUGGCUACUUCAUAUGGUAGCUGAAAAUGGCAAAGGNNNNNAAGUGUCUUGGAUGAUGUUGGGCAAGGUGUGCUUCAUUUAGCAACUGCUCUCGGUUAUGACUGGGCUAUAAAAGCUAUCUUGACUGCAGGAGUU
rnacentral:misc_RNA from 1 species